AUGGGGAGUCUAAGCGUCACAAUUACUCUCUCUGCUCCAUGACGACUCUGGGUUUUUGUAGCCUGACUCUUGGCGUCCCUCGUCAUGUUGUGAGCUCUGUUGGGCGUCGGGGGACUCGGGCAUAGUCUAUGAGUGAGCUGUAGGCCUAGGGCUCAUAGGUCAUAAGUGGGGCUAUAACCUAGGGCACAUAGGCCAUGAGUGGAAGGAGGAUCAGUUACUUCGCAUGUCGCGGCUCGGUGCCAGAUGUUGUUAAUACAAUCGGUCAUUAAUGGUGGGGACAAUCCAUCUAUCUCAUGUCGAAUCCACCCGAAUGAGUUCUUGACGACCCGUCUAACUUAUCCUUCUAGUUCCGCCUCACCCGGCCCUUAAGCUCGAUGCUCCAGGGUCAUCCGGGGACAGGUCCUUCUGAGGCGAACUUUCCCUUUGCCUUCCUUCCGACUCAUGGACUGUGAUACUAGCCUCCGAGCCCCAGAGGAGAGAGUGUCUCCUCUUGGUGGCUUCAUUUUGUUGGGUCGGGCAGCACUCGAUCCCCUCUACAUUCCCAAGGGGUCAUCCUUUAUUCCUGUACUGGUUACAACGUUUAAUUCCUCGAGAUCUAUGACGACGUCUGCACCGGUCUCUUCUUGCUUGUAGGGUGUUGGAUCUUUGUCGUCUUUAUAAUUACGGACGGGAGGUCGUCGGUUGCCAUACCACGACUCUUACUUCUUACUGAUCCCUUGGAUGGAUUCAUUCAGAGGGUUGGUUGACGGACCCUCGGUAAGAAAGAGGCCACGAUGUGCCAUGUUAGGGUCAGGGUAAGGUUUUUAGCCAUCUGAGUCUUCCUUUUCCCUCCUUUUUUAUCUUUGAUGUCUAAUGUAGAGCGGCCUCCCGUGGUCAGGAGUCAGCCUGGGUGAUACACCCAGCCUAGGUGGGGUUGGCCGAGGCCCAACAAAUUAGGGUUGCCCGGAGCCCAACAGUUCAUUAAGCACACCCAACUCAGGGAAAGGCCCUUUCCCUCCAUUUUUUAUCUUUGAUGACUGAUGUAGAGCGGCCUCCCGUGGUCAGGAGUCAGCCUGGGUGAUACACCCAGCCCAGGUGGGUUGGCCGAGGCCCAACAAAUUAGGGUUGCCCGGAGCCCAACAGUUCAUUAAGCACACCCAACUCAGGGAAAGGCCCAAUUGCCCCAAAAGACUAGUCCAAUGGGGGAAGGGUGACUCUCCCUUUUAAAGUGGCUUCCUCCUCCCAAGUUAAGCAAGGUGGGAUAAUUCUGAGGCUCACACGGUUGCCGUCCGACUACAAUUGGGCCAACUGGACCAAUUGCGUCUUUGCCAACGGGUAAUAGUGGAGGAUGUCCUCAUCAUUCCCACCUUCUUAAAAUGGGCCCUAGCUCUGAUACCAGAUGAUACACCCAACCCAGGUGGGGUUGGCCGAGGCCCAACAAAUUAGGGUUGCUGGGGCCCAACAGUUCAUUAAGCACACCCAACUCAGGGAAAGGCCCAAUCGCCCCAAAAGACUAGUCCAAUGGGGGAAGGGUGGCUCUCCCUUUUAAAGUGGCUUCCUCCUCCCAAGUUAAGCGAGGUGGGAUAAUUCUGAGGCUCACACGGUCGUCGUCCGACUACAAUUGGGCCAACUGAGCCAAUUGCGUUUUUGCCAACGGGUAAUAGUGGAGGAUGUCCUCAUCAUUGGGCGUUCGGGUUUACCUAAAUUUUUGGGUUUUUUACAUUUUGGGUUUUCAGCAGUCGAACCCGAACUCAAACCCGGAAUUUGGGUACCCACAAUUUCGGGUUCGUGUAACAUUAAACUACUCGGUAUUAA
rnacentral:lncRNA from 1 species